GCUCACCGUGGAGGGGCAUUGGAUACUGGGAAACUUGAGUGUGAAAGAGGAUUGUGGAUUCCAUGUGUAGCGGUGAAAUGCGCAGAUAUAUGGAGGAACACCGGUGGGAAGGCGACUUUCUGGUCUGUUCUGACGCUGAUGUGCGAAAGCGUGGGGAUCAAACAGGAUUAAAUACCCUGGGUAUCCCCGCCUGUAACGAUGAGUGCUAAGUGUUGGGGGUUUCCGCCCCUUAUGGCUGCAGCUAACGCAUUAAGCACUCCGCCGGGGGAGUACGACCGCAAGGUUGAAAACUCAAAGGAUUUGACGGGGGACCCGCACAAGCGGUGGAGCAUGUGGUUUUAAUUCGAAGCAACGCGCAAAAACCUUACCAAAUCUUGACAUCCUUUGACCACUCUAGAGAUGUUUGUUUCCCCCUUCGGACCACUAAGUGACAGUGUGGUGCGUGGUGUGUCGUCCUCUCGUGUCGUGAUAUGUGUGGUUUAACUCGCGCCGAGAGCGCCACCCUUAUUCAUAUGUGAUCUCGUUGGGCUGGGCACUCUAGGUUGACUGCCGGUGACAAACCGGAGGAAGGUGGGGAUGACGUCAAAUCAUCAUGCCCCUUAUGAUUUGGGCUACACACGUGCUACAAUGGACAAUGACAGUG
rnacentral:rRNA from 1 species